rnacentral:rRNA from 1 species
CGCGUAGGCGGUUUGUUAAGUCGGAUGUGAAAUCCCCGGGCUCAACCUGGGAACUGCAUCCGAUACUGGCAGGCUAGAAUGCAGUAGAGGGAGGUGGAAUUUCCGGUGUAGCGGUGAAAUGCGUAGAGAUCGGAAGGAACACCAGUGGCGAAGGCGGCCUCCUGGACUGACAUUGACGCUGAGGUGCGAAAGCGUGGGGAUCAAACA